AUAUAAGAAGAAGUUCCUAGCCUCGCUAGCAUAUAGCAAUUCUCAAGCUAGAACAAACAGGCAAAGGGAGUAGAAAUAGCUAGCAGCCAGAAUGGAAAAUACAAAGAUCGAAUCAUACUAUUGUUUCAUGAACUAUGAUCCUCAAUACGCUCUCCUUCGAUCUAAUCAAAGAAAGAAAGGGAGGUCAGAUGAGCUGGACAUGUAUCUGAGCCGGAAGCAUGAUGAGGUUUUGGAAAGCACCCUCGAACCAGGAACUUACAGGAAGACAGAGUCUCUUGUUAUUGUAGAUGGCUUUGCUGUGGAAAUUACUGAGGACCAGGCGAGUAAGCUUAGAUCUGCAAAGGGAGUGAGAGUAGUUGAGAAAAACGAAGAGAUUGCUUAACAAGGGAAGGGCCAAGUUAAGUAGCUACAGAGAAGUAGAGAUCGAUCAGUGUGAAUAAAUGUGAAAUGGGUUCGGACGAGUUUAAUUGCUGGUAAUUUGUAUCAACGUACGAAGAUUUGUAUGAGAUGAUCGAGUUUAUUUAUGGGUUAAUUUGCUAUUAUAAU